UUGAAGCUCUGGUGGCUGAUACUAUAGUCUUGCCUUGGAAGAGCGAGCUAGUGUGCUUUCGCAGCUAGUGUUAUACUUCCAGCGUUUAUUAUUGUUGUUCAGAACACAAUAAUAUCUGUGCUUUUCCUGAACAUUUUUUUUAUUUUAUUUUUUCUAUUUGGUGGAUUUAUUUAACAUCUGGAGAUGAGCCGGAGGGAACUACGGCGGCUCCAGGAGGACCAGCGAACAUGGAGCCGUCAAGGAGAUCAUGAUGAGUCAUCCCAGACCGUGUUUGAGGAGAGGCUGCGGUCUGAGCGACGCAGAGGUAUAAGAAGAUCUCGUCCGAACACCCAGGAACAUCCAUCGAGCGGAGAAACAUCUCCACGGCUACAGAGACCUCGGAGGGAGCACAGACACCGAAGCCGCUCUCCUCUUCCUACUCCUCCGGUAGCAACAACGGACAGACCAAGCUCAGAUCCUCGCCCUGGUCCAAGCUCCCAGCAACCAGCUGAGAACGAGCAGAAUCUUCCAGCCAUGGUGAUUGAGAUCAACGGGUAGAAUCUCCCGGCCAUGAUGAUCGAGAUUGACGAGCAGAAUCUCCUGGACAUGGUGGAAGAGAUCUACGGAUUCCAAAUUACCACCAUUGCAGAGGAUGAAGCAGCACAAUCGUGUGCUAUCUGUCUGAUGGAGUACGAAGAAGGGGAGCCAGUGAUUGUCCUGUCCUGCAGCCACAGGUAUCAUCCAAGCUUCAUCUCACAGUGGUUUGCAACAAAUCUCAGUUGUCCUGUUUGCCGCAGAGAGUGCAUCCUGAGGCCGGUCGUGUGCCUGAUCCACUGAGUACAGCAGGAAGAGGAACAUCUAAAUCUCUCCAUUCCAUACCAUCUCCGCCAUUCUGUCCAGUUCCAGCAGCCGACUACUAUAUCUCCUGUACUCCUACCACCCUCCUGCAGCCUAGGCUGCAGCCUCAAACUCCAUCACCACACUGGGCCUGAUUUAGGUCUCGACGCUGUAGCGGAACAUGCAGUCAAGUACUGAUGUU